rnacentral:rRNA from 1 species
GACGAACGCUGGCGGCGUGCUUAACACAUGCAAGUCGAGCGGUAAGGCCUCUUCGGGGGUACACGAGCGGCGAACGGGUGAGUAACACGUGGGUGACCUGCCCUCAGCUCUGGGAUAAGCCUGGGAAACUGGGUCUAAUACCGGAUAUGACCUGUGGUUGCAUGAUCAUGGGUGGAAAGUUGCAGUGACUUUGUUACUGUUUCGGCUGGGGAGUGGGCCCGCGGCCUAUCAGCUUGUUGGUGGGGUGAUGGCCUACCAAGGCGACGACGGGUAGGCCGGCCUGAGAGGGCGACCGGCCACACUGGGACUGAGACACGGCCCAGACUCCUACGGGAGGCAGCAGUGGGAAUCUUGCGCAAUGGGCGAAAGCCUGACGCAGCGACGCCGCGUGAGGGAUGACGGCCUGG